rnacentral:misc_RNA from 1 species
UACAUGUUGGCCUAUGGCUCUGCUGAGGCUUCACUGAGAUUAUUGUGGAAAUUUGGUCUUCUGGAUAUACUUCUACCAAUUCAGGCAGCAUAUUUCGUCCGUCAUGGUUUUAGAAGACGUGAUAAGAGGUCUCACUUGCUUUUGUCUUUAUUUUCCAACCUCGAUAAAUUAGUGGCCCCCGAUAGGCCAUGCCACAGUAGCUUAUGGGUCACAAUUUUGGCUUUCCAUAAAGCACUCUCGGAUCAACCGAGGGACCCUUUGGUGGUUGCUGCUUUUAGCCUAGGUGUUCAUAAUGGAGGUGAUUUGUCAGAAGCUUUAAGUAUAGCCAGACGGAUUUCUGCACAACAUGAUGGAAGCUUUCAUGAGUUGGAGUCACGGGACCUGGACUUGGCAGCUUUAAAAGAGGAAGUAGUGGAACUGGCAACUUCAGUUCAAAGGGCACUGACUAAUAUGACAGAUGAGUAUAGCGUCUCACGGGCAAUGGCCAACUACCCUAAAGCACCUUACUCAGACCUAGUAUUUAUUCCAUUAGCACUGUAUUUAAAGGCGUGCAAGGUUUGCCAAUGCGUUAGAAUGGGAAGGGAGAAGGGAUUUGUAGCCAAGCAAGGUAGCAAGAUCGACUAUGAGUUGUUAGCUUCAGGUAGCCUACAGGAAGUCCGACAUGUCUUUGCCAGGAUAGUCUUCGAUACCAUAUAUCCAUUGAACACUGGCAAGGAUGAUACCUAAAUUUUGUUAGUGCUGUAGUCACGUGUAUUUUCCAAUAGAAUGUAGUAG